GGUGAACGCUGGCGGCGUGCCUAACACAUGCAAGUCGAGCGGUGCGGCUGGAAGCUUCGGUGGAAGGCUGCAUAGCGGCGGACGGGUGCGUAACACGUAGGAACGUGCCCCCUGGAGGCGGAUAGCCGUGGGAAACUGCGGGUAAACCGCCGUAGACUCGGGAGAGUAAAGGCCGAAAGGCGCCAGGGGAGCGGCCUGCGGCCCAUCAGGUAGUUGGUAGGGUAACGGCCUACCAAGCCGACGACGGGUAGCCGGUCUGAGAGGAUGGCCGGCCACAAGGGCACUGAGACACGGGCCCUACUCCUACGGGAGGCAGCAGUGGGGGAUUUUGGACAAUGGGCGAAAGCCUGAUCCAGCGACGCCGCGUGGAGGACGAAGCCCUUCGGGGUGUAAACUCCUUUUCUCAGGGAAAAAAGCUGAUGGUACCUGAGGAAUAAGCCCCGGCUAACUACGUGCCAGCAGCCGCGGUAAUACGUAGGGGGCGAGCGUUACCCGGAAUUACUGGGCGUAAAGGGUGCGUAGGCGGCCGUGUGUGUCUGGCGUUAAAAUCCACGGCUCAACUGUGGGUAUGCGCUGGAAACUGCACGGCUUGGGUGCAGCAGAGGCAGACGGAACUGCUGGUGUAGGGGUGAAAUCCGUAGAUAUCAGCAGGAACGCCGGUGGAGAAGUCGGUCUGCUGGGCUGUAACCGACGCUGAGGCACGAAAGCUAGGGGAGCAAACCGGAUUAGAUACCCGGGUAGUCCUAGCCGUAAACGAUGCUCACUUGGUGUGGGGGCGAAGGUCUCCGUGCUGAAGCUAACGCGUUAAGUGAGCCGCCUGGGGAGUAUGCCCGCAAGGGUGA
rnacentral:rRNA from 1 species